rnacentral:lncRNA from 1 species
AAGCCGGGAUGCAAAGUGGAGGGGCGAGGGGGAGGGAGAGGGCUUGGAUGGGGCUGGUGGGGGGCUUCUCUCUCUGACUGCCCUGGACUCUGUGUGCUGGAUCUCUGCUGUGAUCACAGCGGAGGGAGGACGCGGGGACCUUGAGAGCUAGGAUAAGGAGCUGGGACUUUCGCCUGAGGACACUGGGAAGCCAUGGAAGGUGUUUUCCCUAAUGAAAGCCUUCCACCUUUCAUCCCGUCCUGGCACUAGCUCCUUCGAGGGCCCAGACUCACGAGGAGAGACUGGAGGCAGCGGGUACCAGUGGCCACAGGAGCAUGGAGGAAGGGUGAAUUUGAAGACGUUUUAAAGGUCUAAUCCACAGUAUGACUUCAAGUGUACGCCCACCCUUAGCCCUCUGGCCUUUCCCCAUGUUUGGAGUUCUUAACGUCCAGCGUGACAAUCACCUGUGUGCAUAUUGGUCUCCCCUGCUAGACUCUGAAUUUGUUCAAUAAAUAAGUGAAUGAGUGAGUGAACAAAUAAACGAAUGAAGCAAAGGAAAAAGGGGAGUCUAGGACAAUCCUGGCACUCCACUUCGGGCCACUUGGUGGAUGGUUGUAGUCUAUAUUUCCUAUUUGCCCCAGUGUUUUUUUUGCCACUCCAGUUUUCCUUUGAAGAAUCAAUCUGCACUCUUUUGUGCAUCAAAGGAUGCUAUCAAGAGAGUGAAAAGACAGGGGCCAGCCCAGUGGCCUAGUGGUUAAGUUUGGCACACUCUGCUUCAG